CAACAAAAAACCACUGGUCGUGACGCUCAGAGAUCACUCGCAAUAGUCAGGAGUUAACAGAAAGUGUGUGCACCCAAAUUGUCUACCAUCCUUCUAUAAAAACUGGCUGCUUUUAAAGGUUUGUCUAUUAAAAUGCUAUCAUGUUUUGCUUUGUUUGGUUUCCUUUUAAAGACAGUUGUUUAGGUGAUGUGUGAGGGAUUAAAAAGCCACCCCUGAGAUAAAGCUGACCUGCUUGCAGGAAAGCCACGAUGGAAGGCGGAAGUAUAGAUGAUGGAGGAUUUACGGAGAAUGCGCAGACACAGAUGUGACGUGGAGGGGAGGGCGACUCAGGCCCUUCCUCGCAAAGACUCAUCUAACUGUCGGGGCAACUGUGGGUGCUGCCAUGUCGGAUGAGACGACUGGGGAGUGAGAGGCAGGAAAGCAGCCGAAAGGCCGGGGGGCAGUGUUCUCCAAGGCCUCUCAGAAAAGACAGGAGAGCUUCUCUACACCCCGCUCUCCAGUGGGGAAGCCUGCUUACUUAUAACGGACCCAACAGUAAAUGCAGUCCCCACCACUCUUGGCCAUUGUCAGAAGGGAUAGGUCUGAGGGUCCGGGCAAGAGCAGACCGACGGCCUGGAGAGAGCUUUUGGCUUGGUCCUCUGAAUAGGCUAGUGGUGAUUUGAAGAUGCAGAAGUACUUGGCAAGUUAAUGUGAUGAAAACAACAUAAAACAUGGAUUCCCUCUCCUUCAACUAUGGACCAGUAAGGCAAUUCCUCGGUAAUAACUCAACACACACUUUACCAAAAGUGAUUUUCCAUCUGAGACCUUGCAGAAAGGUGCUCAUUUAUGUUCUUGGCUACCCUUUACCUCAAUGAGAAUGAAAAAAUAUGAACUGUGACCAUAUAUGUAAGACAUAGUCCCAAAUCCAGAUGGCUUGCUUCACUAACUCCACUGUGAUGGCAAAAGUUAACAGUCUUCAUGGUCUGGAGCAAGACCUGUUGGCAGUCAUUUUCUCCUUCUUGGUAACAGCUCCUGGCAAAUCCUGGUGGUAACAUGCCUUCUGACUGUCAAGCUGGGGAUUUCCUUUCUGAUCGUUCCAUGUGGAGGAACAUUUUAUACACUUACAAAGUUCUUCCUGCGCACAUGGUUGGACUCUGCAGCUGAGCCACCACAUCAUCUGGUCCAUAGGGCUCCAUCUGCAGAGAAUGUCAUCCAAUUGGGCAAGAAGUCUUCUGUCCUAGGACUUCUCUGAUUGGAGCUUGAGGUCACCUGGCUGAAGCUGGUACCAUGAUGGACCUGCCUGGUGGCAGCUGGAGCCAGGAAGGGGAUGUAACUGCUAUGGGACAUGCCACUCGAGACAGAGAGGUGAAGGAGAAAUUUCCUGGACUUUCCUUUCAUCUGGGGAGCUCCAGGCUCCUUUUAAUAUCUUUAAUAUGCUCACGCCAGCCAGAAACGCAGUCUGUAGGAAUCCCUCCCAGCCGUACGGGGCAGACCAAGGUAACUGCAAGCAAUGGAUCUGAGGACAAAUUGGCCCAGGACUGGCACACCUUCCCUUUGGAUAAAAUGAUAAAUCUGAUGGUUUUCUUUGUCUCCUUUCUCAUCAUCUCCAAGAGUUUUUUUUGGAUGAUCUCCAGAAUUAGAUUUGUUAUUUUGUAAGUCUUUUUUCUUUAUAGAAUUUUUUUGGAAACUUUUGUUUUAUAACUCUUCUAAGAGGAAUUUUAAACCCAACGUAAAGUUUCAUUAAUUGUAUUACUCACCACCAAUGUUCAUACCACUUCCUUGCUAUUCUCAAGCACUUUUAUUACAGUUCUGAUCUUUUUCUUUUCUCUCUUACAAAUGAUCCCUUAAGUAGGUGUCACAUUCUUAAGACAGUGCUUUAUUCUUUCCUAGCAUUUUGUUUUUUUUGUAAGGAAGAGAAAUCCAAUGACAAACAGAUUCUUUUCUUUUAAGGGCCACUUUUUCCGCUUGGAAGUGUGUAGAUUUUUAUCUUUAUAUUUGGUAUUGAAAUUCAAAACAAGCAAAAGGAAAACUUUAACCCGUCACUUGAAGAACUUUUUUGAUAUGAGGCUUCAAUUCUGUCUUCAGUUUAGGGAUUUUUUUUCUGUUUUGAUUACUGCUUCUCCUUGAUCUGCACUCCUUUUGUACCUAUAUUAGAUAUCCUGUUCAUUCGCAUAUUCCCAAUCACAGAGGAAUUAACAAUUACCUUCAUCUGGACUUGCAUGAAACAUUUUUAACAGAAAGUUCCCAAAAUUUCUGGUGUGUAUAUGGCUUCAUUUGCUUGUUUCCAGGAUUUAUACAGACUUUUUCUAAAUAUUUCUGUGUUUGUCAUUUCCGUGGGAACCUGGAAGAGGAGAGAAUUAACCAUUAGCACUCAAAUCACCGUUAGAAACAAGAAGCGCGUCUUAAUAAAAUUUAGACAUUACUAAACAUACCAUUCUCUCCAAAUACUACAAGAGCACAUGGCUAUUUGAGCAAAUGAGGCACUGUCCUCUCCCUAAGGAGUUUCUAAGUGGUAGAAGAU
ensembl:lncRNA